GAUCAAGUGUCUAUAAGAGCAUUUAGUGGAUGCCUUGGCACAGAGAGGCGAUGAAGGACGUGAUACACUGCGAUAAGCCAUGGGGAGUUGUGAAUAAGCUUUGAUCCGUGGAUUUCCGAAUGGGGAAACCCAAACCAAUAGGUUUAUCCCGCAAGGGAGGCAAACCCAGUGAACUGAAAUAUCUAAGUAACUGGAGGAAAGGACAUCAACCGAGACUCCGUUAGUAGUGACGAGCGAAAGCGGACCAGGCCAGUGGCUGUU
rnacentral:rRNA from 1 species